rnacentral:tRNA from 2 species
GCGCCCGUAGCUCAGCUGGAUAGAGCGCUGCCCUCCGGAGGCAGAGGUCAGAGGUUCGAAUCCUCUCGGGCGCA